rnacentral:rRNA from 1 species
UACGAAGGGGGCUAGCGUUGCUCGGAAUCACUGGGCGUAAAGCGCACGUAGGCGGACUCUUAAGUCAGGGGUGAAAUCCUGGAGCUCAACUCCAGAACUGCCUUUGAUACUGGCGAUCUUGAGUCCGGGAGAGGUGAGUGGAACUGCGAGUGUAGAGGUGAAAUUCGUAGAUAUUCGCAAGAACACCAGUGGCGAAGGCGGCUCACUGGCCCGGUACUGACGCUGAGGUGCGAAAGCGUGGGGAGCAAACAGG